rnacentral:rRNA from 1 species
AGUGAACGCUGGCGGUAGGCCUAACACAUGCAAGUCGAACGGCAGCACAGUAAGAGCUUGCUCUUACGGGUGGCGAGUGGCGGACGGGUGAGGAAUACAUCGGAAUCUACUUUUUCGUGGGGGAUAACGUAGGGAAACUUACGCUAAUACCGCAUACGACCUACGGGUGAAAGCAGGGGAUCUUCGGCCCUUGCGCGUUUGUAUGAGCCGAUGUCGGAUUAGCUAGUUGGCGGGGUAAAGGCCCACCAAGGCGACGAUCCGUAGCUGGUCUGAGAGGAUGAUCAGCCACACUGGAACUGAGACACGGUCCAGACUCCUACGGGAGGCAGCAGUGGGGAAUAUUGGACAAUGGGCGCAAGCCUGAUCCAGCCAUACCGCGUGGGUGAAAAAGGCCUUCGGGUUGUAAAGCCCUUUUGUUGGGAGAGAAAAGCAGCAGGUUAAUACCCCGCUGUUCUGACGGUACCCAAAGAAUAAGCACCGGCUAACUUCGUG